rnacentral:rRNA from 1 species
AUGAUGAAGCAGGAGUCGUGGAUGGAGGUGCUGCCGGUGCCGCCGGCGCCCUACUUCGCCGGCCAGGCGGGCGGCUGGUUCCUGCAGGACCAGCGGGGCCCCGGCGGCGUCGGCGGCGGGGCGUGGUCACCGGCGGAGAACAAGCAGUUCGAGGAGGCGCUCGCGCGGGUCGACGGGGACGCGCCGGACCGGUGGGAGCGGGUGGCGGCGCUGCUGCCCGGCAAGACGGUGGCCGACGUCAUGCGGCAGUACGACGACCUCGAGAACGACGUCUGCUUCAUCGAGGCCGGCCUCGUCCCCUUCCCCCACUACAACGCCAACGCCCCGGCCUCCGGGUUCACCCUCGACUGGGACGGCGGCGGCGACCUGGCGUUCAAGCGCUCCUGCUACAUGGCGGCGGGCGGCAACGGCAAGCGCGGGCGCGGCGCGGACCAGGAGCGCAAGAAGGGCGUGCCCUGGACGGAGGAGGAGCACAAGCUCUUCUUGAUGGGCCUGAAGAAGUACGGGCGCGGGGACUGGCGGAACAUCUCGCGCAACUACGUGACGAGCCGGACGCCGACGCAGGUGGCCAGCCACGCGCAGAAGUACUUCAUCCGGCUCAACUCCGGCGGCAAGGACAAGCGCCGCUCCAGCAUCCACGACAUCACCACCGUCAACAUUCCCGACGACGACCACGCCAGCAACACCAACCCCUCGCCCUCGCCGCCCUCCGCGCUCACCGCCACCUCCUCCGCCCCGGAGCAGUUCGGCGCGCUCGCCGACAGCAAGCCGCCGCCGCCUCUGGGCGGGCACCACCACUUCAUGCCGGCCCACCUCUACGGCAGCGUGAAGCUGGAGGCCAGCAAUAACGGCUACCACGGCGACUCUGCUCUGAUGCUGAUGCAUCAAUGCGGCCAGCUCCAGCCUCUCGGUUGA